rnacentral:lncRNA from 1 species
CUCCCCUCCCAAAAUUUUAUUCCCUGCUUCUCAUCAGCUGCCCUUGGUCUAGCCAUUCAAAGAACUCUUCUCCCAUAUGUUUGAUCUGAUCGAAGAACUCUACAGAAUUCGAACAUCAAAUCGGCCAUUUUAGAGUUCAUUUGAUGCCACAACAACUGUUGGUUUUCACUAUUCAAUCUAUAUUCAGAUGUUUCAUUUGAUGCCAACACCACAAGGAAGCUUUUAUGUGUACAAU